AUCUUAGAUCUGGGGAGCCCGUUGGGCUGAGAGGGCACACACAGGUGUGCCGACCCAAAAACCUGAUCCGGUUAGUACCGGCGGAGGAAGUAUCCAUGAAUUCCCUU
rnacentral:ncRNA from 2 species